CUUUCCUACGGGAGGCAGCAGUGGGGAAUAUUGCACAAUGGGCGAAAGCCUGAACCAGCCAAGUCGCGUGAGGGAAUAAGGCCCUACGGGUCGUAAACCUCUUUUGCCGGGGAGCAAGGGCGGGGACGUGUCCCGGCCCGGAGAGUACCCGGAGAAAAAGCAUCGGCUAACUCCGUGCCAGCAGCCGCGGUAAUACGGAGGAUGCGAGCGUUAUCCGGAUUUAUUGGGUUUAAAGGGUGCGUAGGCGGGCUUUUAAGUCAGCGGUAAAAAUUCGGGGCUCAACCCCGUCCGGCCGUU
rnacentral:rRNA from 1 species